GGGCCCGCACAAGCAGUGGAGUAUGUGGUUUAAUUCGAAGCAACGCGAAGAACCUUACCAGGGUUUGACAUCCCUCGAAUCAUGUAGAGAUACAUGAGUCCUUCGGGACGGGGAGACAGGUGGUGCAUGGUUGUCGUCAGCUCGUGUCGUGAGAUGUUGGGUUAAGUCCCGCAACGAGCGCAACCCUUGUUGUUAGUUGCCAGCACGUAACGGUGGGCACUCUAGCGAAACUGCCGGCGACAAGUCGGAGGAAGGUGGGGACGACGUCAAAUCAUCAUGCCCCUUAUAUCCUGGGCUACACACGUACUACAAUGGCUGUAACAGAGGGAAGCGAAGGAGCAAUUCGGAGCAAAUCCCCAAAAGCAGCCUCAGUUCAGAUCGUGGGCUGCAACCCGCCCACGUGAAGUCGGAAUUGCUAGUAAUGGCAGGUCAGCAUACUGCCGUGAAUACGUUCCCGGGCCUU
rnacentral:rRNA from 1 species